AUCCAGUCCACUGUCCGCUCUGUGUUCUAGAUCGCUAGUGGGCCCCGUGUUGCAUCUGAGAUGCCUCUCUUUCCUCCUGGCUCUUGCUUUCUGUAUGCCUUCCCGCCUCUACUUGAGAAAUUCUUCAUUGCUGUCUUGGUUCUCCUUCUGUGCUGCCACCUCCUUUACCGGCAGCAUAUGGGGAAUGUCUCCACUAGGGAAGAGAUGCCAUUCCCAGGGGGAGAACCUCGCUGGGGACGGAUCUGCCGCCAGGAUUCCCAAGCAGUGAUUGGCACUCAGCAAAUCUGACAUCUGGCAAUCUUCAUGUAUCCAUUCUGUUCGAAGAGGAAAACAGUUUGAAAUCCAUCCUCAAAGAUGGCAUUGGGAAGGAAAGUUGAAACCAGUACAAGGACGGAGAGAGAUAAAUCUUUUUCUUGCCUCAGUCCUAAAUUGGAACCAGAGCACCCCCAUUUCCAGGCUUGGGAUUUGUGGAAAGCAGGAAUUAGCAAUCCUGAAGUUUUCCUCGAGAGCAAGAACAUCAAGCAAAGGGAGGUAGUAGCCUUGAGGAAUGUUUCCUCCCAGCCAUGGUGAGGCC
rnacentral:lncRNA from 1 species